CACGUAGUUAGCCGUGGCUUAUUCAAGAUGUACCGUCUUCUGCUCUUCCCUCUUAAAAGAAGUUUACAACCCGAAAGCCUUCUUCCUUCACGCGGCGUUGCUGGGUCAGGCUUGCGCCCAUUGCCCAAUAUUCCCCACUGCUGCCUCCCGUAGGAGUCUGGGCCGUAUCUCAGUCCCAAUGUGGCCGGCCAACCUCUCAGUCCGGCUACUGAUCGUUGCCUUGGUAGGCCGUUACCCUGCCAACUAGCUAAUCAGACGCGAGGCCAUCUCUCAGCGAUAAAUCUUUGAUAUCCAUACCAUGCGAUACAGAUAUAUUAUGCGGUAUUAGCAGUCGUUUCCAACUGUUGUCCCCCUCUGAGAGGUAGGUUCCUCACGCGUUACUCACCCGUCCGCCACUAAGUAUCCUCUUCCAUUGACCGAAAUCUCUUUCCGAGGCACUCCGUUCGACUUGCAUGUGUUAAGCACGCCGCCAGCGUUCGUCCUGAGCCAGGAUCAAACU
rnacentral:rRNA from 1 species